UUCAGGGAGAGCUAGAGAGGAGCCCUGACUGAGAAGCAAUGACACCACUGCUGUGAAAAAACCACCCAGAAGCAUGUUGGAAACUGAGAGAUUUGAGAGCAAACUUUUUUCUACAGAUGAAGGCAAGAAAGAGCUAUUCUCCAUGAGGGUGUUCAGUUCAAGAAUGCCUCUGUCUGUAGUCAAGUGGUCUGAACUACUCCCUCAGCAUCUAAGGUCUUUUUUCACCUGGUGUGGACUGACACAACCACUGAUAUGGUUACAUUAAAUAUCUGCAAACUGCAGCCCUCUGAGACACACUCAGGUCCACUUUGGGAAGCAAUUGUAAACUAUGAGGAAAUUUUCCCAUGCAGUUGGGAAUUGUGUGACCCUUCCUCCUCUGAACCUUCGUCUUCCAAGGAGCUGAGAGAGCCUCUUGUUCUACUUAAGUGACAGAUCAAGUGAGGGAAAGACUCAACAAAACAGAAAGAACCAUUGCACACCAAAGGUUAUCAUGCCAUCUGAAAGAAAUCAUGAGGGAAACUUAAAGGAAUUUCUACACUAUAAAACCAACUAGAAAUUUCCAAGACUGAUAAAGUUUGUAGCUCAACUGGGCAUUCAUCUAGCAAUUUAUAUUAAACUUCUGAAGGCAUUUUUUCUCUUCUUCAGCAGUAGAAGAUGGGUUAAAUGUAUUGUAAAGUAUAAAAACCACAGAAGAAUAAAAAAAGGGAGGUAUUCUCACUGCUUUUUUUUUUUUUUUGUAAAACAAUCUUCAUAGAAACUUGCACCUUGAAAAAUAUUUAGUGAAAUAUUCCCUCAUAACCAAUAAUAUCUGUGGUAGUCAUCUAUUAUAGCCAAUGCUUUGUUAGAAAAAUUGAAUUACUCCAAUUGCUAUAGAGUAUACUUUUUUUCAGGCAAAGAAACUCAUGUAUUAUAGUUCCUUUGUUUGGCUCAGUGAGAUAUCUUGUUUUUCAUUCCCUUUUGAGUACAUCAGGAAAAAGUAUAAAUUCUGAGUGUAGUUUUGAAAUGUUAUUUUUUUGUUUUCUGUCAUCUGUAAAUGUCCUAGGUACCAGGGUUUGGCCCAAUCAGCCCGUGUUUCAGGGAUUUUGCCUUAUACUUUGGGCAGAUUGAAUCCCAAAACCUUGAGAAGGUAUUUAGGCUGCUCUGUGAAUCCCAGUCAGUGGCCUUGUAGAUAAUAGUAGUUCAUAUUUCCAUAAAAUCAAGGACAUCUUAGAGAACGCUGCAAGCUGCACAUUUUCUGCACAUAGAAUAUCUCACUUCAGGGAGUGGGCUCCAACAUGUGCAUGCCAAAAGACAGUUGGGGGGGUAACUAGGAAUACUGAAGCAUCUAAGAAUUUGAAAUUUCCUUUGCCUUAAAGCUGAGAUGUAAUCAUAUAGCCCUGCUCUCAGCAGCUGUACUGUGAUGUGCCUGCAGCUGGAUUGCCCUGUUCCACUAACAGGUUAAGUGAAUCACUCUGGGUACCUGGGUGUUUGUGCUGUGAGUGUUUCUGGUGUGCAGAGGGGAGGCUUCUCUCUCCGUACAGUGUUUUGCCUUUAUGGUACUAAUUUUUCAAGGUCACUAUGGUAUGGAUGUCAUCCUGUGGGGUCAAAAGGUCUGGAAAAUCAGCUCAUGAUGGAAAAAAAGUUUUUUGCUUUGGCAAUCAAGCUGAGCUCUCUGGAACAAAUAGUAUGUUGAAGACAGUAGAGAAAAAGAGGGUUAUUGUCAGCAGGUACAUUCUUUUUUGCACAGUGAUUGAGAUAUCAUUUGAUCUAAACGUGUGCAAAGAAAAAUAUCCUAUGUGACAUUUUCAAAUGUAUGCUUUUGGGAAGAUGUUUCCAACUUGUUUCUUCAGUUGUAUGCUUUUGGGAAGAUGUUUCCAGCUUGGCCAAGCUACUUGUUUGAAGCCUGCGUGUCAAACUUUACAUAAAAGCCGGUGUUGUCCUGUAUGUGAUAUUGACCUUUGUUUCAACCUUUUCAUGAUUGGUGGUGUUCUCAUUUCCCAACAAACCAAAAGUGGAACCAAGUAGGAAAUACAACAUGAGGUUGGCUGUAUGCAUCAUCUGUGUGAAGCAAGGAAAGGGGUUUUUUUAGAGAUACGAGUACAUGAAGUACAAGAGAAUGAGGAUGAUGUAAAAGCAACCAAGCAAGAGAACAAUUUUUCUUACACAUGAAGGGCUGCAACCCAACUCCAUUUUAUCUUAGUAGUACUGCUGAGAACUGAUAGAGGAAGCAACACUUUCACAGUUAUUGAAGAAUCUUAGAGGAUAAAAAAUAAAGGGCUCAAAAAUAGCUAUUUACACACUGUAGGACAGGAGAUCCUGAAACAUUGAUAGAGUAACAAACUGAAAAUGGAUUGAGUCUUAAAAAUGGUAAGGAAAUAAUGUAAUGUUAUAAAAGACCACUGUACUUGAAUGCUGUAUUCUGCUGUCAUUUAUAUCUAGAGAGAAAAUAAGCAUAUUACAGGUCUUAGGCAAAAGGGUUAUAUUCAGCAUUUUUUGCAAUACUGAGAAUUACAAGGCAAACUAUGCUUAAUGUUGAUGAUACAAAACUAAAUGAGGCAUAUUAAUUUGGGCUAUCAGGAAAGCAAAACACAUUUCCUUCCCAAGCAGAGAUAAUAUGCAGGCCAUAGACUAAAAUUUUUCAGGUCUGAGAAUAAGAAGUCUGAUGACAGCUUAGCCAGAAAGUCUGUCUGUACCUUUUUUGUGACAGCACAUCCUCACCUAGGACCUGUCAGCUUAGAGAGUAGUGCUCAAGAAAACUAAAACACUGUUAUUUUGUGUACAAAACCACUAGUG